AGACAUGAACAUGUCUAGAUAUACUCCUGGAUAAUAUUAGCUGAAAACGAUUUAUUAGAGCCCUUAUCAAUAAUCUGCUUUUUGUGAUCCAACGGGUACUCUCUUGUUGAAGAUUAAUAAUAGAAUACCUACACUCAGAACCUCGGGAGAAUUGAUGUUUGCGACAAGACCUUCAACAGCAAGAUAGUUGAGGAAAGCAUGGACUGCUGCCCGCCACCCAGUGCAGAGCUUUGUACCAGGGUGAACUGCCUUUCCUCCAUGGUUGAUGGCGAAGAAAAAAGGACUGACUGGUUGAAGCAUUGAAGCAGGACGAUUUUCCCGAUACAUCUUGUUCCAGGCCACUGGAUCCCUGUCAGGUUCUUCUGGAAUGCUGUAUGCACGGGGCUUCCUGUGGAUGUCAUUAGGAUUGGCUCCCGUACGUGUCUUGGACUGACCCUCUGAGAUGUCGCUCAAAGGAGGAGAGAAAGUUUCUCAGUGAGGAAGGCUCAUUCUCCGAUUCAUCGUUCUUUCUAACAGUGAUGAAGAACAUGUUGAGAUAAUCUUUAAGGACAGGUGACUCAAUCUCUUCUAUAGCCCUAACCUCACCUUCCUGCGCCAGGAACUGCUUUAAAAGAUUCAGGUCGUACAAGUUUUUUUUUCUUUGUGUUUUCAUUUGCAUGUUCUUCAAGAUAUUUAUCGACAUCACCAGUACUUAUCUUUGAAAAUCUGUGAGUCUUAUUUUGCUGGACAUACUGGAUAGGUUCAAUUUGUUCCUGGAUAGAUUUUGUUUGUUGCUGGAUAAGUUCUGUUUGUUCAAGAAAUCUAAAGUCCCAAUCUGCCAGUAAAACAUCGAUUUCACUCAUUUUGAGU